CAGAAGGCAAAGGGGUGGGCAGCAGUAAGGGUGGAGUGGAAAACAGUGGCAAAAGGCAGAAAGGGGGGAGUGUCAGGCAGCUCCCUGAGGAGGUUGAAUCAUAUGAGGAGGAGCCAGCAUGCACGCUCAUUCCUGAUCAGGAGUUGCCUCAGGAGCCCACCCACUCCUCCAAGCCUGACAGGGAACCCUCUGAUGAAGCUGGCAAGGCACUAUAGACCAAGAAGCCCCUGCACCAGACCCUCUGGACAGCUCUUUAGAGGAACCCAUAUGGGCAGCACUGCCAUAACUUGAUCCCACUCCCCACUUUACCUUUGGGUCCCCCAUAUCCGCCUCCAGGGUAGUGGUCCUUGUGUCCCCGCUGGAACCCAGGGAGAGACGUCAACACCUGACUUGGACGGACCGUGCCGUAGGAGUGCAUGUCUGGUAGCUCAAUCAUGGCUCAGUUUAGAACAAGCUCCUCAGAAGUGUGUGUGUGGGGAUCUCCUCGGGAGAAAGAAUAGAGCCAGCAGCAGGUGCCAUUACUAACAGCCUAAGGAGUCAGAGGAAGGGAGGGGUACCUACUAAUUCCCAUUUAAGCUCUGCUCUUGGGCUAAUCAGUUAUUGCUUUUCUGCUUCUUUCAUAGACUCACAUCUUUGCAUCCUGCUCUUGGAGAUCCUGGUCUAGCACCUUGCUUUUGGUGGACCCUGGGGCUGCACUCCAUUCCAUUUGCAGAUCGAUCCCUAUCAAAAGAAACACUUGGAUUGGUCUGAGGAAAAUCUUAUUGUUUGUUUUUUAGAAGAUAAGCAUGAAGAAGUCACCCACUGGAUUGCUUGUUUUUGUUCAGAAGCAUGUAAAAUAAGAUUUCUGCAAACUGGUUUUUAAAUUUUUACUUAUGUUAUUGUAUUGUUUUUUGCUGUAGUGCUUAUUUGGUCAUUGACCGUAAAUAAAUGAAUCUGAUCA